UAAAGGUCGUAACCAAGGUUUCCGUAGGUGAACCUGCGAAGGAUCAUUAU
rnacentral:rRNA from 1 species